rnacentral:misc_RNA from 1 species
GAUGAAUAACGCAGCGAAAUGCGAUAAGUAAUGUGAAUUGCAGAAUUCAGUGAAUCAUCGAAUCUUUGAACGCACAUUGCGCCCGCCAGUAUUCUGGCGGGCAUGCCUGUUCGAGCGUCAUUACAACCCUCAGGCCCCCGGGCCUGGCGUUGGGGAUCGGCGGAGCCCCCCGUGGGCACACGCCGUCCCCCAAAUGCAGUGGCGGUCCCGCCGCAGCUUCCAUCGCGUAGUAGCUAACACCUCGCGACUGGAGAGCGGCGCGGCCACGCCGUAAAACACCCAACUCUUCUGAAGUUGACCUCGAAUCAGGUAGGAAUACCCGCUGAACUUAAGCAUAUCAAUAAGCGGAGGA